rnacentral:tRNA from 1 species
UUACUAGUACUUCUUUGUGUUAAUAUUCUUUCCGAUGCCUCAGCAGGUCUGAUGUAUCGGAAGUAUGCGCCUUUAG